GCAAGGAAUAUUGUGCAAUGGGCGAAAGCCUGACACAGCGACACCGCGUGAGGGAAGAAGGCCUUCGGGUCGUAAACCUCUUUUCUCAGGGAGGAGUAAGGACAGUACCUGGGGAAUAAGCCACGGCUAACUACGUGCCAGCAGCUGCGGUAAAACGUAGGUGGCGAGCGUUAUCCGGAUUCAUUGGGCGUAAAGAGGGCGCAGGCGGCCCGGUAAGUCGAAUGUGAAAUCUCCUGGCUUAACUGGGAGGGGUCAUUCGAUACUAUCGAGCUAGAGUGCAACAGGGGAAGGUGGAAUUCCCGGUGUAGUGGUGAAAUGCGUAGAUAUCGGGAGGAACACCAGUGGCGAAGGCGGCCUUCUGGGUUGUUACUGACGCUUAAGCCCGAAAGCGUGGGGAGCAAACAGGAUCAGAUACCCCAGUAGUCC
rnacentral:rRNA from 1 species